GAUGAACGCUGGCGGCGUGCCUAAUACAUGCAAGUCGAGCGAACAGACGAGGAGCUUGCUCCUCUGACGUUAGCGGCGGACAGGUGAGUAACACGUGGAUAACCUACCUAUAAGACUGGGAUAACUUCGGGAAACCGGAGCUAAUACCGGAUAAUGUAUUGAACCGCAUGGUUCAAUAGUGAAAGACGGUUUUGCUGUCACUUAUAGAUGGAUCCGCGCCGCAUUAGCUAGUUGGUAAGGUAACGGCUUACCAAGGCAACGAUGCGUAGCCGACCUGAGAGGGUGAUCGGCCACACUGGAACUGAGCCACGGUCCAGACUCCUCCGGGAGGCAGCAGUAGGGAAUCUUCCGCAAUGGGCGAAAGCCUGACGGAGCAACGCCGCGUGAGUGAUGAAGGUCUUCGGAUCGUAAAACUCUGUUAUUAGGGAAGAACAAAUGUGUAAGUAACUAUGCACGUCUUGACGGUACCUAAUCAGAAAGCCACGGCUAACUACGUG
rnacentral:rRNA from 1 species